GUGGGGAAUAUUGGACAAUGGGCGAAAGCCUGAUCCAGCCAUGCCGCGUGUGUGAAGAAGGUCUUCGGAUUGUAAAGCACUUUAAGUUGGGAGGAAGGGCAGUAAGUUAAUACCUUGAUGUUUUGACGUUACCGACAGAAUAAGCACCGGCUAACUUCGUGCCAGCAGCCGCGGUAAUACGAAGGGUGCAAGCGUUAAUCGGAAUUACUGGGCGUAAAGCGCGCGUAGGUGGUUUUGUAAGUUGGAGGUGAAAUCCCCGGGCUCAACCUGGGAACUGCCUCCAAAACUGCAUGACUAGAGUACGGGAGAGGGUAGUGGAAUUUCCUGUGUAGCGGUGAAAUGCGUAGAUAUAGGAAGGAACACCAGUGGCGAAGGCGACUACCUGGACUGAUACUGACACUGAGGUGCGAAAGCGUGGGGAGCAAACAGGAUUAGAUACCCCGGUAGUCC
rnacentral:rRNA from 1 species